rnacentral:lncRNA from 1 species
GGAGGUUCCUCGCAAUGCUAGUUUGGGCGCGAGCGAUAAAUGUGGGAUGCAAAUAUUGGUCCCGGGAAAGAGAAAUGUGGUGGCCCAAAAUGAAAGAAUAAAUUUGGGAAAUUGAAAUUGAAUUAUGCAUGGUAUGGCAACAUGUAUGCAUGAGUGCAUGAUGAUGAGUGCAUGGAUGUAUGUGCACCUAUGGCAUGAUGGCAUAUGUGUGACAUGAUGAUGGUAAGUGCAUGGAUGUAUGUGCACCUAUGACAUGAUGGCAUAUGUGACAUGAUGAUGAUGAGUGCAUGGAUGUAUGUGCACCUAUGGCAUGAUGAUAUGUGUGACAUGAUGAUGGUAAGUGCAUGGAUGUAUGUGCACCUAUGGCAUGACGGCAUAUGUGUGACAUGAUGAUGAUGAGUGCAUGGAUGUAUGUGCACCUAUGGCAUGAUGGCAUAUGUGACAUGAUGAUGAUGAGUGCAUGGAUGUAUGUGCACCUAUGGCAUGAUGGUAUG